rnacentral:tRNA from 1 species
GAAGUAGGCGAUGCGCUCAGUUGGGAGAGGGACGUUGAAGGGCUUCCAUUUUGGUUGCCUACGUUGUAUGGUGGUUCGAAUCCACGCCCUACUUCU